CUGGGGGGCAGGGCUUUGUUAUGAGGAGGGGCUUAUGGAGGGGCGUGGCUUGGUGUGGAAAAAAUACAAACACAAAAUCCUUGCAUUAGCAGAAGUGUAUUAAGUAUAUAUUGAUUGUCAAAGUAUUUGGUAUCUGUACAGAAUUUCUUGGGAGAUUUACAUUACAUUUAAUUUUCACAAACAUUUUACAGAAAUAGGAUUAACAUGUGAUUAACAUGUUCACAGAUUAACAUGUGCUCUAUUGUAUGUGCUGGGGCCCGUUGCACAAAAGUAGAAUUAAGACAUCCAGGAUAAAUGACUAAGCUGAGCUCAAUGAAUCCAAAACAAGUGCGUCCAGGCUUAAUUGGUUGCACAAAGACCAAGCCAGGAUCAGCCAGGUGAAACCAAUCCUGGAUAUGUGCGCGCUCACGGCUCACUCAAACAGACCCGCCACCGAUCACAGAUUCACUGAUUCAUGGAGGCAUACAAGGAGGUAAAAGCCAUAAUUAAGAAGAAAGGCAACACCGCCACAGUGAUAAAGCAAAGAGAAAAAGCGUGGCAAAGUAUUGCAGACCGCCUGAAUGCAUAAGCAGUGCACAAUUACACACUCACCGCUCUGCUGAAACAUCACAAUUACAAUCCAAAUAGUUAAUUCACAUCUCCAAAAACGCAGUUGUACUCUGAUUAUGAAACAGUUGAAUUUUUAAUUGAAAUGGACUGCAGAUAUGAGUGAAAUUGUGUAAAGUAACUCCAUCACACUGUAUAAGGCUUUGAUAAAUUAUCAAAGCCUUACAUUAUUACUACUCUCACUAGUAAGGUUUAAUCUUAGCCGUUGUACUCUGCUUCUUAUGUUGUCCACCAAUUUUUCUGUGUGUUCUCCUGCUUUUAUUAAUGUAAAGCUGCUUUGAAACAAUGGAACAAUUGUGAAAAGAGCUAUAUAACUAAAAGUGAAUUAAAUUGAAUAAAUAGAUGAGCUAAUAAUAAUAAUAAUCGCUUUAAUUUAUAUAGCGUCUUUCAAAGGACCCAAGGUCGCUUACUCACUGACUCCAUUGAAUGUUCUUGUGUGAUAAAGAAAGUGUCUCUUUUCGUGUGUGGUGGUGUGUGUGUGAUGUAGAUAAAACAUGACCGGGCUAAAACGGACAUGGCAGCAAGUCAAAAUCAAAUACAAGAACAUUCUGCAGAAUGGUAAGGACCCUGACUAAUACUUAACAAUGCACAAGCAUAUAUUGUAGCCAGAAGGUGCCUGCUCACACAUUGUCUGUACUGUUUUAGCAGUGAAAACGAAUACCCACAGACAAGGCACAGGUGGUGGGUCACCAAAAGCUCCAAUAGCUUUGGAGCUAAAUAAAGGCAGGCCUGUGUUGGAGGGGAUCCCUGGGGGGAAAGAGACAAGCAUAGGUCCCUCCCAAGAUGCCACCCGCUUCAUACAAGUGUCUGGCAGCACUGUGUUACUGUUAGAGCCACAAGCACCAGAUGAUGCUGAUCCAGUGAGUACACCAUCAAAGGCAUACUGUAGGCCUGGCAUGUCUUGUCUACUAGCUUCUAUAUGAAUCCGAUUAAAUGUGAUAGGUGCAGCAGCAACAGCACAUGACGGCUAUCAGCGCCUAUCACAAGGUGAAUUCUCUGGUGUGUUGCUGGGAGACAGGGGGUAUGGCUGCCAGCCUUUUCUCCUGACACCUUUCACAGACCCCCAGGAAGCACAGCAUGCCUACAACCAUGCCCAUGCCAGGAACAGGACCAGAGUUGAAAUGACCUUUGGCCUCCUGAUGUUACACUUUUGCUGCCUUCACAAA